GGAAGGGUGGGUGAGUGGCUGAAACCACCGGUUUGCUAAACCGACGUACGGGUCAUACUGUACCACGAGUUCGAAUCUCGUCCCUUCCG
rnacentral:tRNA from 1 species